rnacentral:misc_RNA from 2 species
AGCAGCCGCGGUAAUUCCAGCUCCAAUAGCGUAUAUUAAAGUUGUUGCAGUUAAAAAAGCUCGUAGUUGAAUUUCGGGGAUCGAUACGUCGGUCGUGCCUUCGGUACAUACUGUCGUCAUCGAUUUCUCCCUUCUGACGAACCAUGAUGUCAUUAAUUUGGUGUUAUGGGAAAUCAGGACUGUUACUUUGAAAAAAUUAGAGUGUUUAAAGCAGGCAUUAGCUUGAAUACAUUAGCAUGGAAUAAUGAAAUAGGACGUUCGAACCUAUUUUGUUGGUUUUUAGGAUCAACGUAAUGAUUAAUAGGGAUAGUUGGGGGCAUUAGUAUUCAAUUGUCAGAGGUGAAAUUCUUGGAUUUAUUGAAGACUAACUACUGCGAAAGCAUUUGCCAAGGAUGUUUUCAUUAAUCAAGAACGAAAGUUAGGGGAUCGAAGACGAUCAGAUACCGUCGUAGUCUUAACCAUAAACUAUGCCGACUAGGGAUCGGAUGAUGUUAAUUUUUUUAAUGGCUCAUUCGGCGCC